rnacentral:rRNA from 1 species
CUACGGGGGGCUGCAGUGGGGAAUAUUGGGCAAUGGGCGCAAGCCUGACCCAGCAACGCCGCGUGAAGGAAGAAGGCUUUCGGGUUGUAAACUUCUUUGACCAAGGACGAAGAACGUGACGGUACUUGGAAAACAAGCCACGGCUAACUACGUGCCAGCAGCCGCGGUAAUACGUAGGUGGCAAGCGUUGUCCGGAUUUACUGGGUGUAAAGGGCGUGUAGGCGGGACUGCAAGUCAGAUGUGAAAUCUGGGGGCUUAACCCUCAAACUGCAUUUGAAACUGUGGUUCUUGAGUGAUGGGAGGCAGGCGGAAUUCCUAGUGUAGCGGUGAAAUGCGUAGAUAUUAGGAGGAACACCAGUGGCGAAGGCGGCCUGCUGGACAUUAACUGACGCUGAGGCGCGAAAGCGUGGGGAGCAAACAGGAUUAGAUACCCGAGUAGUC